AAUUGGAAAUACGAUCCAAACUGUUUUGCUGUCAGUUGUCAUCAUAUUUGUGAACCAUCGAAAAACAGUUAGUGUUUGGCCAUCCGGCUGAUGAAUUUUAGGAGUCAAAGCGGCGGUCAGAAAAUGUCAUGCUCAAUACGCCACUCUCAUGCCGCACCUUCCAAUCAUGGCAUCGAUCAGCAGCAGCAGCUCGCCGUUUGGAACUACAUCCAUCGCCGGAACAACAUCCGCAUCCGCAGGCUGGAUUGCCUGAAGGCUUAGGAGGAGGUGGCCUGCGAGGAACCGACGGCGGUUGGAUCGAAAAUGGCCCAGUUGGUGCAUUUUUUGUACGAGAACGAUAGGAACCCGGAAGAGGACUUUCAGAAGAUGUUGAUCCUGUUUAGGAGCUUGUAUUUGCAUAAUUGUAGGAAGUGAAAAUUAUGAAUGCAUAAUAAGAUGCCGAGAAAAAAAUAUAAAGAAAGUCGUGAUUUUAGAUUUCUAUUCAAAUAAAGUUGAAAAGUGUACGCUAGUUUCUGGUUGAAGCAA